UUUGACGUUGGACGUUCGAUAUUCUCAGAUUUGCGGAAAUUAAGUGACCGUCCCUAAAGUUACAUACGACAUUGUUAUACACGUUUCUAACUUCAAUAGCAUUUUAAGGGCAUGACUUACAGUCAUAUAACCAACUGUAAAGUGUUCAUCUAGGUGUCAGGGAAACGGGGCUCCUCGGGACUAAGAGCAAAUGUUUUGCAAAUUUUUUUGGGUCUCUUCGGGCACUGUUUCAGUUGCCAGUGGAACAGCUGCUGUACCAUGCAGUGAUGCAACCAUUGAGAAUGCUCUCAGAGGUGCAACGAUAUAAAAAAGUGUGUGAGAAUGCCUGGGGCCAUUCAAAACCAUCUCAGCUUCCACAGGAAGUACAGACGCUUCCGGGCUGUCCUCACUACUGUGUGAAUGUGGAUGGACCAUUCCAUUGAAGUCGUUGGAAAUGUGGACAUCAAGGAAUUAAGAAUAAAGCUGAAAUAAAGCUGCCAACCCUUUCCAUCUCUGUUCUGUUGAUGUAGAUAGGGGCGUGCUCACCCACCUAGCUCUUCCUGUGGUCCAUAAUCAUCUCCUUUGUUUUACUGACGUUCAGGAAGAAGUUGUGCUGUGCACCAGGCAGCCAGGGCUCUGACCUCC